GACGAACGCUGGCGGCGUGCCUAAUACAUGCAAGUCGAACGCUUCUUUCCUCCCGAGUGCUUGCACUCAAUUGGAAAGAGGAGUGGCGGACGGGUGAGUAACACGUGGGUAACCUACCCAUCAGAGGGGGAUAACACUUGGAAACAGGUGCUAAUACCGCAUAACAGUUUAUGCCGCAUGGCAUGAGAGUGAAAGGCGCUUUCGGGUGUCGCUGAUGGAUGGACCCGCGGUGCAUUAGCUAGUUGGUGAGGUAACGGCUCACCAAGGCCACGAUGCAUAGCCGACCUGAGAGGGUGAUCGGCCACACUGGGACUGAGACACGGCCCAGACUCCUACGGGAGGCAGCAGUAGGGAAUCUUCGGCAAUGGACGAAAGUCUGACCGAGCAACGCCGCGUGAGUGAAGAAGGUUUUCGGAUCGUAAAACUCUGUUGUUAGAGAAGAACAAGGACGUUAGUAACUGAACGUCCCCUGACGGUGUCUAACCAGAAAGCCGCGGCUAACUACGUG
rnacentral:rRNA from 1 species